AAAUGAAUUGACGGGGGCCCGCACAAGCGGAGGAGCAUGUGGUUUAAUUCGAUGAUACGCGAGGAACCUUACCCGGGCUUGAAGGUAAGACGAAUAUAUGGGAAACCAUAUAGCCUACGGGCGUCUUGCUAGGUGCUGCAUGGUUGUCGUCAGCUCGUGCCGUGAGGUGUUAGGUUAAGUCCUGCAACGAGCGCAACCCCUACUAAUAGUUGCCAGCACGUUAAGGUGGGAACUCUAUUAGAACUGCCUACGCAAGUAGAGAGGAAGGUGGGGAUGACGUCAAAUCAGCACGGCCCUUAUGUCCGGGGCUACACACGUGCUACAAUGGCAUAUACAGAGGGCAGCUACUCGGUGACGAGAUGCUAAUCUUAAAAGUAUGUCUCAGUUCGGAUUGGAGUCUGAAACUCGACUCUAUGAAGUUGGAUUCGCUAGUAAUCGCGCAUCAGCCAUGGCGCGGUGAAUACGUUCCCGGGCCUUGUACACACCGCCCGU
rnacentral:rRNA from 1 species